rnacentral:lncRNA from 1 species
UGAUAAUAACAUGCUAGCGUUUGCCCCCUCCCCCAUCCUCCCAGCCUGCUGCCCACAAUGGCCGCCCACUCUCAGACACGCUUUGGGGCCGGGCGGAGGGCACAGGCUGGUGCUGGCGCCCCCUGGACUCUGCCCUGGAGCCACAGCAGGUUCCCCUGCCCGGAGACCAAGGGCAGCUCAAGGUUCACCGCGUGGGCCUCGAUACACACGAGAAACCUCUGAAAUUCAAAGUGAGGAAAAGGUGACUGUCAUAGUCCUAUCCUUAUUGCUUUUCCAUGCCUGCCAAGUCCUUCCCUUUUGAGGAAUUUGCUUGGUUGGAACCUAUGUUUUACUCCCAGAGACCAUGCUUGGAACACGUGAUGCCAAUGAUGGCAGUUACUCAUAAUAUGAGAAGGACUGAGCUCUACCUGUUUAAUGACCAAAAUGAAAAUGAGGUUUGUGGCACAGUUCAAAAAGAUGGCCAGUCCAAUGCAGGAACCAACGAAAAAACCAUUGUUCAUGAAGGAGCUGGAGGUCAUAAAUGGGAGAACAAUAACAGAAAUAACCCCCAAAUAAGGGAAAGUGUGGGAUCUACCAUGUGAAUGAGCCUGGUGAGUUGAUUAAAAGUUUAUCCAUAUUUGUAUCAGAGGGGAUGUGGAAAAAUUGGGACCUUAAUUCUUUGUUGGUGGAUCUCUGAGCUGGUCCAACCAUUUUGGAGAACGAUUUGGAAUUAUGCCCAAAGAGUUAUUAAACUGCCUCUACCCUUUGACCCAGAAAUACCACUACUAGGUCUGUUUCCCAAGACGAUCUAGGAAAAGAACCGAGAUGUUCUAAAAUAU